rnacentral:rRNA from 1 species
UAAACAAUGAUAAACCUUUACACUUAUUAUCCGCCCGGGUACUACGAGCAUUAGCUUAAAACCCAAAGGACUUGGCGGUGCUUAAGAUCCACCUAGAGGAGCCUGUUCUAGAACCGAUAAUCCCCGUUCAACCUCACCCUUUCUUGUUUAUUCAGCCUAUAUACCGCCGUCGUCAGCUUACCCUGUGAAGGAAUCACAGUAAGCAAAAUUGGCACAGCCUAAAACGUCAGGUCGAGGUGUAGCAUAUGAAAGGGGAAGAAAUGGGCUACAUUCUCUAAUAUAGAGAAUACGAAUAAUGUAUUGAAACAUGCAUUUAAAGGAGGAUUUAGUAGUAAGAAGAAACUAGAGUGCUCUACUGAAACUGGCCCUAAAGCGCGUACACACCGCCCGUCACUCUCCCCAAGCUAUAAAAUUUACCUUUCUUAAAACCAUUAAACUGUAAAGGGGAGGCAAGUCGUAACAUGGUAAGUGUACGGAAGGUGUACCUUGGAAAAAU